rnacentral:rRNA from 1 species
UACGGAGGGGGCUAGCGUUGUUCGGAAUUACUGGGCGUAAAGCGCACGUAGGCGGCUUUUGUAAGUUAGAGGUGAAAGCCCAGGGCUCAACCCUGGAAUUGCCUUUAAGACUGCAUCGCUUGAACAUCGGAGAGGUAAGUGGAAUUCCGAGUGUAGAGGUGAAAAUUCGUAGAUAUUCGGAAGAACACCAGUGGCGAAGGCGACUUACUGGACGAUUUGUUGACGCUGAGGUGCGAAAAGCGUGGGGGAGCAAACAGG